UACGGAGGGAGCUAGCGUUGUUCGGAAUUACUGGGCGUAAAGCGCACGUAGGCGGCUUUGUAAGUUAGAGGUGAAAGCCCGGGGCUCAACCCCGGAAGCGCAUUGGAUACUACGGAGCUUGAGUCCUGAAGAGGAGAGCGGAAUUCCCGGUGUAGAGGUGAAAUUCGUAGAUAUCGGGAGGAACACCAGUGGCGAAGGCGGCUCUCUGGACAGGUACUGACGCUGAGACGCGAAAGCGUGGGUAGCAAACAGG
rnacentral:rRNA from 1 species